CAAAUUUCAUUGUACAUAUCCAAAUAAUCCACAUGAUCAAGGUCAUCAAGAAAUUCUCUCACUUGAAAAAGAUGCAAAAACGGCUAGAAACAAGUGGGGACUGACUCUGGGAACAGGUGCAAUUUUGUUUACAGUUGGACUUUUGGUUCUACUCUUCUUCUUCAGAGAAAAGAUUUUGC